UACGAAGGGGGCUAGCGUUGCUCGGAAUUACUGGGCGUAAAGGGCGCGUAGGCGGAUAGUUUAGUCAGAGGUGAAAGCCCAGGGCUCAACCGUGGAAUUGCCUUUGAUACUGGCUAUCUUGAGUUCGGGAGAGGUGAGUGGAACUCCGAGUGUAGAGGUGAAAUUCGUAGAUAUUCGGAAGAACACCAGUGGCGAAGGCGACUCACUGGCCCGAUACUGACGCUGAGGCGCGAAAGCGUGGGGAGCAAACAGG
rnacentral:rRNA from 1 species